CACCUUGCGCUCCUUGGUAUUCCGAGGAGCAUGCCUGUUUGAGUGUCAUUAAAUUCUCAACCUUCCAGCUUUUUAUAAGCUUGGUUAGGCUUGGAUGUGGGGGUUGUGGGCUUCAUUAAUGAGGUCAGCUCUCCUUAAAUGCAUUAGCGGAACUUUUGUGGACCGUCUAUUGGUGUGAUAAUUAUCUACGCCGUGGAUGUGAAGCAGAUUUAUGAAGUUCAGCUUCUAACCGUCCAUUGACUUGGACAUUUUUGACAAUUUGACCUCAAAUCAGGUAGGACUACCCGCUGAACUUAAGCAUAUCAAUAAGCGGAGGAAAAGAAACUAACAAGGAUUCCCCUAGUAACUGCGAGUGAAGCGGGAAAAGCUCAAAUUUAAAAUUCUGCGCAGUCUUUGGCUGUGCGCGA
rnacentral:rRNA from 1 species